rnacentral:rRNA from 1 species
AUUGAACGCUGGCGGCAGGCCUAACACAUGCAAGUCGAGCGAGCGGCGGACGGGUGAGUAAUGUAUGGGGACUGCCCGAUAGAGGGGGAUAACUACUGGACACGGUGGCUAAUAACGCAUACUAUCGGAUAACCCAUAUGGGAUUAGCUAGUAGGUGGGGUAAAGGCUCACCUAGGCGACGAUCCCUAGCUGGUCUGAGAGGAUGAGCAGCCACACUGCGUCUGAAACACGGCCCAGACCCACACGGAGGCAGGAGUGGGGAAAAUAGCACAAUGGGCGCAAGCCUGAUGCAGCCCUGCCGCGUGUAUGAAGAGGGCCUUAGGGUUGGAAAGUUCUUUCAGCGGGGAGGCGUUACCCGCAGAAGAAGCACCGGCUAACUCCGUGCCAGCAGCCGCGGUAAUAC